UACGGAGGGGGCUAGCGUUGUUCGGAAUUACUGGGCGUAAAGCGCACGUAGGCGGCUUUGUAAGUUAGAGGUGAAAGCCCGGGGCUCAACUCCGGAAUUGCCUUUAAGACUGCAUCGCUAGAAUUGUGGAGAGGUAAGUGGAAUUCCGAGUGUAGAGGUGAAAUUCGUAGAUAUUCGGAAGAACACCGGUGGCGAAGGCGGGUCUCUGGGCAGUAACUGACGCUGAGGAGCGAAAGCGUGGGGAGCGAACAGG
rnacentral:rRNA from 1 species